UUUCCCAGGGUGGCACCUCGCUCUUGGCCGGAUGAAUCUUCGCUGCUGGCCGUGGAAACGGCUAGAGCAGCUUGUUAGUUGAUUUUUAAAUUUCUGAGUGUUGUGUUUAAAGCCUUUCGUGCACAGAGGAAGAAUCGCCACGUUAAAUAAGCAUAUGGGUGAUUAACAGGUUUUCCAAGAAAUAACUUCACCAAGAUGUCCAGUGAUAGGCAAAGGUCCGAUGAUGAGAGCCCCAGCACCAGCAGUGGUAGUUCAGAUGCAGACCAGCGAGACCCAGCCGCUCCAGAGCCUGAAGAACAAGAAGAAAGAAAACCUGCCACCCAGCAGAAGAAGAACACCAAACUCUCUAGCAAAACCACUGCUAAGUUAUCCACUAGUGCUAAAAGAAUUCAGAAGGAGCUAGCUGAAAUAACCCUUGAUCCUCCUCCUAACUGCAGUGCUGGGCCUAAAGGAGAUAACAUUUAUGAAUGGAGAUCAACUAUACUUGGUCCACCAGGUUCUGUAUAUGAAGGUGGUGUGUUUUUUCUGGAUAUCACAUUUUCAUCAGAUUAUCCAUUUAAGCCACCAAAGGUUACUUUCCGCACCAGAAUCUAUCACUGCAACAUCAACAGUCAGGGAGUCAUCUGUCUGGACAUCCUUAAAGAUAACUGGAGUCCUGCUUUGACUAUUUCAAAGGUUUUGCUGUCUAUUUGUUCCCUUUUGACAGACUGCAACCCUGCGGAUCCUCUGGUUGGAAGCAUAGCCACUCAGUAUUUGACCAACAGAGCAGAACAUGACAGGAUAGCCAGACAGUGGACCAAGAGAUACGCAACAUAAUUCACAUAAUUUGUAUGCAGUGUGAAGGAGCAGAAGGCAUCUUCUCACUGUGCUGCAAAUCUUUAUAGCCUUUACAAUACGGACUUCUGUGUAUAUGUUAUACUGAUUCUACUCUCUGCUUUUAUCCUUUGGAGACUGGGAGACUCCCUAAAAAGAUUGAAGUUUACUGUUAAUUACAGAGAAGGACAUAAAAGAGGUGUGGUGGAAGGGUCUACCAGAACCAGAUGCUAAGCACACAGCAGUGUAUAAAAAAAAUUCUCUCUUCCAGCUUCCAGAAUUCCUCCUCUUCAACCUUGCCUGUUCACUGGAAUAACGAAGCUAUUAAACAAGGGUGUAAAGAAGUUCCAUCUAGUGGUUGAAGCUUGGUAGAGAACAAGGAAGUAGGCUGGGGUAGAUCAAGUAAUCAUCUGCACUCUGAGUCUUUCCCAGUCUCACUAAGGGGGGUAAAGAGGGAAACAGUUUUAAAUUUCAUGUGUACUCUAGCAGAUAUAAUGUGAUUGUGACAAUCUUCCCAUGAAUAUUUGUUAACCCUAUCUAAUUUAAAUAAUUGUGUAAUAAAAUGUGCAGGUGUUAAAUCGA